rnacentral:lncRNA from 1 species
GCGAUGGAGGAGGCAAGCGCUGAUGGGGAGCUGGAGACUCGGAGCUUCUCAUCGCUGAGUAAAUCUGACCAUCAGCUGUCUUGCAGGGUGACUUUACUUUGUUGAAAGUUUUGUUGAAUGAACUGAAUUAAAAUAUUUCUAAAGAGUGUUUUCUUCUGUUUUCAGUCCAGUUCAGUCCAGACCAUCUCUGAUGAGGAGAAACCUUCACCUGACUGCAGCUUGAACAAAGACCCAGGGUUCCUGAACGUUCUGAUGAACUGUCAGUGGCAGAGUUUAUGGUGCCAGGUGGAGGAUGGAGUUCUCAACAUGUUUGGCGAGGAGGAGGUGAAACAGGAAGAGCAGAAGAAGCGUUCUCCAGAGUACACUGUCCAGCUCAGAGGCUGUAAAGUCAGAGGAGGAACUGACACUGAUCGCUCCUACAGGAUCUCUCUGAGCAUGCUCGGUGACCAGGUGGCUGUACUGGAGGUGAACUCUUCAGAGGAGAAACUACGUUGGCUGAAGCUGCUUCAGGACGGAACUGUCAAUCACAGUUACCAUGACAACAAGACUCAGGAGCCCACAGGGGGCGCUCUGAGCGGGCUGCAGACUCGCAGGUUCCCCACCUCCAACACCUACAUGGACGACCCGUUCAGUCUGAGCGGAGUGAGCAAAGACCAGCCCGUCUACUCCAACUCCUCCAUUCUGGAGCACAUGCUCCACAGCUCUCAGGAUUUAGUUCAGCGCAGCUCGAUGUCGUCCAGGGACUCGGCGACCUACAGCAACACGACUGUCUGCAGUCAGAGUAAACAAUUGAGAGAGGUGCAGCGCAGCGUUCAGAAGCUGGAGCUGGCUGGGAAACCUGUGGUUCAGAUGAGGGCGGAGUCAGAAACCAACCUGGUGUCUGCAGUCAAGCGAAACAAACGCACCUCCUUCAGACAGUCGCUGGCCAUCUGCACCGAACGUGCCCAGGUAGGAAAACCUGGUCCAGAUGUUCUCUGA